CCGAAUCCGCGCUUGAGCGUUACAACAAGGUAAGAGCCUGGGCUAUGAGAGCUGUCGGCGAGAUUCCUAGUUCUAAAACCCUAAGCCUACAAGACCUAAUUGAGUCGCAGCUCGAAUAAAAGAAACGGAAAGUUGCCUAAAAUGCUCUAAGGGCUAAAUUUGAUGUGUCUCUGAUCCCCUUUUGCCUCUUGCCUAGGACUCCUUAUAUACUUGCUCCUAGGUCGUUUUGUGCCUUUCCCCUUCUGUCCUUAAGCCAUCAUAGCUCAAAAAUGGAGAUAUUCCAAUUUUUCCGAUCUUCGUGAUUAUCUUCGGAAACUUCACAUUUAUCCGCGGAAACUUGACAUUUAUCUUGCCUUACGAACCAAGCAUAAACCGUCAUAAGGCUGAUGGGUUUUCGGUUAAGAAAUCGUAAGUGGGCUUCGAGUUGCGUUUUAGGCCUCUUUGGGCCGUUUUUAUCGAAGUCUUUGACUCGAAACGUUUAUUAC
rnacentral:lncRNA from 1 species